GUUGCCGGCCAUACUGCGUCGAAAAUACCGGAUCCCAUCCGAACUCCGAAGUCAAGCGGCGGUAGGCCGGGAUAGUACUGGGGUGGGGGACCGCCCGUUAUCUGUCAUGUUUGGAAGUU
rnacentral:rRNA from 1 species